GGAAGGAAUAUUGCACAAUGGGGGAAACCCUGAUGCAGCGACGCCGCGUGAGUGACGAAGGCCUUCGGGUCGUAAAACUCUUUUAUGUGGGAUGAGCAAGGACAGUACCACAAGAAUAAGUCUCGGCUAACUACGUGCCAGCAGCCGCGGUAAAACGUAGGAGGCGAGCGUUAUCCGGAAUUACUGGGCGUAAAGGGCAAGUAGGCGGUAGGCCAAGUUGGGCGUGACAAAUCCCGGCUUAACUGGGAGGGGUCGUCCAAAACUGGCAUACUCGAGGGCAGGAGAGGUAAGUGGAAUUCCUAGUGUAGCGGUGGAAUGCUCAGAUAUUAGGAAGAACACCAGUGGCGAAGGCGACUUACUGGCCUGUACCUGACGCUGAGAGGCGAAAGCUAGGGGAGCGAACGGGCUUAGAAACCCCUGUAGUCC
rnacentral:rRNA from 1 species